UACGAAGGGGGCUAGCGUUGUUCGGAAUCACUGGGCGUAAAGCGCACGUAGGCGGAUCGUUAAGUCGAGGGUGAAAUCCCAGGGCUCAACCCUGGAACUGCCUUCGAUACUGGCGAUCUUCGAGUCCGGGAGAGGUGAGUGGAACUCCGAGUGUAGAGGUGAAAUUCGUAGAUAUUCGGAAGAACACCAGUGGCGAAGGCGGCUCACUGGCCCGGUACUGACGCUGAGGUGCGAAAGCGUGGGGAGCAAACAGG
rnacentral:rRNA from 1 species